GUACCGAUGAAGAGUCCCAAACUAGGACGAAACAGUUGUCAAGUAC
rfam:Trichobilharzia regenti genome assembly, scaffold: TRE_scaffold0026233